rnacentral:rRNA from 1 species
UACGAACGCUGGCGGCAUGCCUAACACAUGCAAGUCGAACGAGACCUUCGGGUCUAGUGGCGCACGGGUGCGUAACGCGUGGGAAUCUGCCCUUGGGUUCGGGAUAACAGUUGGAAACGACUGCUAAUACCGGAUGAUGACUUCGGUCCAAAGAUUUAUCGCCCAGGGAUGAGCCCGCGUCGGAUUAGCUUGUUGGUGAGGUAAAGGCUCACCAAGGCGACGAUCCGUAGCUGGUCUGAGAGGAUGAUCAGCCACACUGGGACUGAGACACGGCCCAGACUCCUACGGGAGGCAGCAGUGGGGAAUAUUGGACAAUGGGCGAAAGCCUGAUCCAGCAAUGCCGCGUGAGUGAUGAAGGCCUUAGGGUUGUAAAGCUCUUUUACCCGGGAAGAUAAUGACUGUACCGGGAGAAUAAGCCCCGGCUAACUCCGUGCCAGCAGCCGCCGCCG